CUCAGAUGCUAUUCGAGUUGGAGACUCGGUUUUAGUUUUGCCUGGAGAAACAAUUCCUGUAGAUGGAAAAGUUCUUGCAGGAAGAAGUGUGGUUGAUGAAUCCAUGCUGACUGGAGAAUCACCUCCAGUAUUCAAGGAAAAAGGUCUUAUGGUCUCUGCAGGAACAAUAAAUUGGGAUGGUCCUUUAAGGAUAGAAGCAACUUCCACUGGCUCCAACUCAACUAUUUCUAAGAUUGUACGCAUGGUUAGUGCCCCAGUGAACCUUUUUUAUUGGAUUAGUCAAU